GAUGAACGCUGGCGGCGUGCUUAAUACAUGCAAGUCGAACGAGGAGUUCUUGUAGUAAUACGAGGGCUUCCUAGUGGCGAACGGGUGCGUAACGCGUUGGUGACCUGCCCCAAAGUGUGGGAUAACAGUUCGAAAGGACUGCUAAUACCGCAUGUGAUCCUCGGUUUUAGAAUCCGAUGAUUAAAGCAGUAAUGCGCUUUGGGAGGGACCUGCGUCCCAUCAGCUAGUUGGUGAGGUAAUGGCCCACCAAGGCUUCGACGGGUAGGGGACCUGAGAGGGUGGUCCCCCACACUGGCACUGAAACACGGGCCAGACACCUACGGGUGGCG
rnacentral:rRNA from 1 species